rnacentral:rRNA from 1 species
UACGUAGGGGGCAAGCGUUGUCCGGAAUCAUUGGGCGUAAAGGGCGCGUAGGUGGCGACUCAAGUCAACGGUGAAAGCUCGACGCUUAACGUCGAGUCGGCCGUCGAAACUGGGACGCUUGAGCACUGUAGAGGCAGAUGGAAUUCCGGGUGUAGCGGUGGAAUGCGUAGAGAUCCGGAAGAACACCGGUGGCGAAGGCGGUCUGCUGGGCAGUUGCUGACACUGAUGCGCGACAGCGUGGGGAGCAAACAGG